AACGAACGCUGGCGGCAGGCCUAACACAUGCAAGUCGAGCGCCCCGCAAGGGGAGCGGCGGACGGGUGAGUAACGCGUGGGAAUAUGCCCUUUGCUACGGAAUAGUCUCGGGAAACUGGGGGUAAUACCGUAUACGCCCUUUGGGGGGAAGAUUUAUCGGCGAAGGAUUAGCCCGCGUUGGAUUAGGUAGUUGGUGGGGUAAUGGCCUACCAAGCCGACGAUCCAUAGCUGGUUUGAGAGGAUGAUCAGCCACACUGGGACUGAGACACGGCCCAGACUCCUACGGGAGGCAGCAGUGGGGAAUCUUAGACAAUGGGGGCAACCCUGAUCAAGCCAUGCCGCGUGAGUGAUGAAGGCCUGAGGGUUGUAAAGCUCUUUCAGCUGGGAAGAUAAUGACGGUACCAGCAGAAGAAGCCCCGGCUAACUCCGUG
rnacentral:rRNA from 1 species